rnacentral:rRNA from 1 species
CAGUCGCCGCGGGAAUACAGAGGGUGCGAGCGUUAAUCGGAUUUACUGGGCGUAAAGCGUGCGUAGGCGGCUUCUUAAGUCGGAUGUGAAAUCCCUGAGCUUAACUUAGGAAUUGCAUUCGAUACUGGGAAGCUAGAGUAUGGGAGAGGAUGGUAGAAUUCCAGGUGUAGCGGUGAAAUGCGUAGAGAUCUGGAGGAAUACCGAUGGCGAAGGCAGCCAUUUGGCCUAAUACUGACGCUGAGGUACGAAAGCAUGGGGAGCAAACAGGAUUAGAUACCCCAGUAGUCCCUGUCUCUUAUAC